rnacentral:rRNA from 1 species
GACGAACCGUGCGAACGUUAUUCGGAAUCACUGGGCUUAAAGCGCGUGUAGGCGGGACGGCACGUCGGUCGCUGAAAGCCCCCGGCUCAACCGGGGAACGGGCGCCGAUACGACCGUCCUGGAGGGACGUAGGGGGACCUGGAACAUCCGGUGGAGCGGUGAAAUGCGUAGAGAUCGGAAAGAACACCAACGGCGAAAGCACUCUGCUGGGCCGACACUGACACUGAGAGACGAAAGCUAGGGGAGCGAAUGGG